ACGUGGCCAAAUCCUGGCCCUUGACACGAGGAUUGGCUGGAGAGGUUGGUUGGAGAGGAUCGGAACUCGUAUAUGCAUAUCUCUCUCUUCCUGUCGAUUCUUCUUCUAGGGUUUACAAUCUUGAAUCUCCUCCAAGGGUUUGGAUCAACUCUCCUCUUGCCUGACGUUGCUUCUUGCGAUUUGAAGCUAGGCUGGUUCGCUUAACUCUUGAACACCCACAAUACCCAUUAGAUUAUUCGUUUCCAUCACAUGAGGAGGCCUUAAAUAAAUCAUUAGAUCUUAAGAUCACAAAUAAAGCAGUGAUGAUGAUUUGUAGCAGUAGUGCCCUUGAAAGUCACAAAGGGACCUUCUAAGAUUUUAAGGUCACCUGGUAAAUGGCUUGUGCCUGCUGUUUCUGCACGAAUCCAAGGAUAAUGUGUUUAUGAUGUCAAAUAAGAAAUCAAAAUAUCCAGUUCUUCAACUAGAAUUAAGGCUGAUUUCAGACUUCGUGGUGGUUAUAGUUUCUGCUGCUAUUGGUGGAAUUAUCUUUUCUUGUCUUGGACAACCAAUUUGUAUCUGUAACUGGUUGCUGCGUUCUUUUGCAGUUUUGGUUCUAAUAGUUUGAUUUUAUUUUUACAUUCAGCCACAUGCAGUGAGCUGUAUGUGUACAAAUUUUAGAGCUUAAUGUUACUUUAUGGCUACCAAUGCUAGGUAAUUGAUGGCUGUCUCCUUGCUGGUUCACUUGUUGGUCCAGGAGGUUUGAAAUUCAAGAGUGAAAUGGAACAGGUCUGUUGUCAUGAAUAGUUCAAGCUCAUUGCUUUCUAAGAUUGUGGUGUUUUCCUUCUCUAGUUUCCUGGAUUAUGAAGGCCUGGAAGGUUAUAAAUCCCGAAGGGGGGACUGACGAUGCUGAAGAGAAAGGGCUUGAUGAUGAUUCUUCCCACGGAUUUUGGAGGAGUCACUUAAGUUUAUUUGAUUUUUUAGGUUUUCUUUGGAAUAUAUUACUAUAUCUGUAUCUAUAUUUUGCCUUAUGCUUCAAAUUGUAUGUUGAGCUGUGAUAAAUUCGUCUUAGUUUGGUAACAAAAUUAUAGGUCCAUGCCUUGAGAUCAUUGUACUCAUCUUUAUUUUGGUAAUAAAAUUUCUUACCCAAAAAAAUGGUUUGGGUAGGAUAUCACCUAAUUUCAAAAUA